AGAGUUUGAUCCUGGCUCAGGAUGAACGCUAGCGGCAGGCUUAACACAUGCAAGUCGAGGGGCAGCGCGGGGUAGCAAUACCCUGGCGGCGACCGGCGGAAGGGUGCGUAACACGUGAGCGACUUGCCCGUCACAGGGAGAUAACCGGCGGAAACGGCGACUAAUAUCCCAUAUGAUCCGGUGCUACAUGGCGUCGGGUUGAAAGAUUCAUCGGUGACGGAUAGGCUCGCGGGACAUUAGCUAGACGGCGGGGCAACGGCCCACCGUGGCGACGAUGUCUAGGGGUUCUGAGAGGAAGAUCCCCCACACUGGAACUGAGACACGGUCCAGACUCCUACGGGAGGCAGCAGUGAGGAAUAUUGGUCAAUGGGCGGAAGCCUGAACCAGCCAUGCCGCGUGAAGGAAUAAGGCCCUAUGGGUCGUAAACUUCUUUAGACGCAGAGCAAUAAGGGUCUCGUGAGGCCCGAUGAGAGUAUGCGUAGAAUAAGCAUCGGCUAACUCCGUGCCAGCAGCCGCGGUAAUACGGGGGAUGCGAGCGUUAUCCGGAUUUAUUGGGUUUAAAGGGUGCGUAGGCGGCAAGGUAAGUCAGCGGUGAAAGACCAGGGCUCAACUCUGGAAGUGCCGUUGAUACUGUCUGGCUAGAAUGAUUCCGCCGUGGGAGGAAUGAGUAGUGUAGCGGUGAAAUGCAUAGAUAUUACUCAGAACACCGAUUGCGAAGGCAUCUCACGAGGGGUUCAUUGACGCUGAGGCACGAAAGCGUGGGGAUCGAACAGGAUUAGAUACCCUGGUAGUCCACGCAGUAAACGAUGAUGGCUAACUGUCGGGCCUUAGGGUUCGGCGGCCAAGCGAAAGCGAUAAGCCAUCCACCUGGGGAGUACGACCGCAAGGUUGAAACUCAAAGGAAUUGACGGGGGCC
rnacentral:rRNA from 1 species